rnacentral:snRNA from 1 species
ACUUCUCCUUCCACUGAGCA